rnacentral:tRNA from 1 species
GGUCAUGGCUCAGUGGUAGAGCUCUUGCCUCACAUGUAUGAGGCACUGAGUUCGAUUCUCAGCACCA